rnacentral:misc_RNA from 1 species
AACGCACGAGACCUGCGGACCUGCGGAGGGAUCAUUACCGAGUGCGGGCCCUCGCGGCCCAACCUCCCACCCUUGUCUCUAUACACCUGUUGCUUUGGCGGGCCCACCGGGGCCACCUGGUCGCCGGGGGACGUCCGUCCCCGGGCCCGUGCCCGCCGAAGCGCUCUGUGAACCCUGAUGAAGAUGGGCUGUCUGAGUACUAUGAAAAUUGUCAAAACUUUCAACAACGGAUCUCUAGAU